rnacentral:ribozyme from 13 species
UUUCUUUUUUUUUUUUUUUUUUUUUAAAUUGAAAAUGAAACCAUUUAUUCUUCCUGUUGCCUCUGUUGCUAUUUUCAAAGAGCCUGGGCGAAAGCAUCAGCAGAGACACCGCA